CCCUUCUCAGUCUCGCACCUGGAGAGUUUCCAGUACUCUACCAUUCUCGACUACAGGAGGGAGCGUCAAGCAGAGGCCUAUCCAUUCCACUCUUAGUUUGUGCAGUGGCUAGUGAAUGGAAGGCAUUCUGCUGCAAGU